rnacentral:rRNA from 1 species
CAAUAGCGUAUAUUAAAGUUGUUGCAGUUAAAAAGCUCGUAGUUGGACCUUGGACCUGGACAGGCGGUCCGCCUCACGGCGAGUACUGUCUUGCUGGGUCUUUCCUCUUGGUGAUCUGUUGUUUCGGCAGCAGGGAACCAGGACCUUUACUUUGAAAAAAUUAGAGUGUUCAAAGCAGGCUCGACGCCGGAAUAUAUUAGCAUGGAAUAAUAAGAUAGGACGUGCGGUUCUAUUUUGUUGGUUUUUGGAAUCGCCGUAAUGAUUAAUAGGGACAGUCGGGGGCAUUAGUACUCACAUGCUAGAGGUGAAAUUCUUGGAUUUUGUGAAGACUAACUUCUGCGAAAGCAUUUGCCAAGGAUGUUUNCAUUA